UACGUAGGGUGCAAGCGUUGUCCGGAAUUAUUGGGCGUAAAGAGCUCGUAGGCGGUCUGUUACGUCGGCUGUGAAAACCUGGGGCUCAACUCCGGGCCUGCAGCCGAUACGGGCAGACUAGAGUUCGGCAGGGGAGACUGGAAUUCCUGGUGUAGCGGUGGAAUGCGCAGAUAUCAGGAGGAACACCGGUGGCGAAGGCGGGUCUCUGGGCCGUAACUGACGCUGAGGAGCGAAAGCGUGGGGAGCGAACAGG
rnacentral:rRNA from 1 species